GAUCUCUUUAGUGUAGUGGUUAUCACGUGCGCUUCACACGCGCAAGGUCCCCGGUUCGAUCCCGGGCGGAAUCU
rnacentral:tRNA from 1 species